AUUGAACGCUGGCGGCAUGCUUUACACAUGCAAGUCGAACGGCAGCGCGGGCUUCGGCCUGGCUGCGCGUGGCGAACGGGUGAGUAAUGCAUCGGAACGUGCCCAGCAGUGGGGGAUAGCCCGGCGAAAACCGGAUUCAUACCGCAUACAACCCGAUGGUGAAAACGGGGGAGCGAAAGGACGCGCGCCCUUGGGGCGGCCGAUGUCGGAAUAGCCAGUUGGUGGGGGUAAGGCCUACCAAGGCCACGAUCCGUAGCUGGUCUGAGAGGGCGACCAGCCAGACUGGGACUGAGACACGGCCCAGACGCCUACGGGAGGCAGCCGUGGGGCAUUUUGGACAAUGGGGGCAAGCCUGAUCCAGACAGGCCGCGUGCGGGAAGAAGGCCUUCGGGUUGUAAACCGAUUUUUUUCGGGAAGAAAUCCUCUGGGCUAAUACCCCGGGGGGGUGACGGUACCGGAAGAAUAAGCACCGGCUAACUACGUG
rnacentral:rRNA from 1 species